UACGUAGGGUGCAAGCGUUGUCCGGAAUUAUUGGGCGUAAAGGGCUCGUAGGCGGUUUGUCGCGUCGGGAGUGAAAACACCGGGCUUAACUCGGUGCUGGCUUUCGAUACGGGCAGACUAGAGGUAUGCAGGGGAGAACGGAAUUCCUGGUGUAGCGGUGAAAUGCGCAGAUAUCAGGAAGAACACCCGUGGCGAAGGCGGCUCUCUGGGACGGUACUGACGCUGAGGAGCGAAAGCGUGGGGAGCAAACAGG
rnacentral:rRNA from 1 species